AUACAAACGGCCCCACUCCGCCAAUCUGGGCCAAAUGGCUGGCUUCUGGCUCCCUGUGGUUUCUGGAAGGCAGGAAGCCGCAGACAGCAGACCACGGAGGGCGCCAGCGAGACAGCCUUUCUCUUGGCUUCAUGAUUCAAAGGUCUGGGAUGGAACCUGAGGAUCUGCAUUUCAACGGGCUCUCAGAACUUUUAUGAGUUUGAAAACCCAAUCAGAAGAGACAACCAGGGGACGUGUCUCAAAGGCAUGUUGGAAUCAUAAGCCCAGUCUUCAUUUCAGUUUUUGUUUCACGUCGUUUGGAGGUUGCACCACAAGGACUGAGUGAAGUGAGAACACAGCCCCCCUGGCGGCAGGAAAACCCUAACUAAUAGAGCUCCCAUCACAGAAGCUCACCCAGGUUGGCUACCCAGCAAUAGUGCACAAUAGGAGUGCUAAGUUGCUUCAGACUCUUUGCGACCCCGUGGACUAUAGUCCAGCAGGCUCCUCUGUCCAUGGGAUACUGAACGCAAGAAUACUGGAGCGGCACAUUAGGGACAAGACACAAAAGCAAAGUCAAGUCUGGUCCAUUCUACCUGCCCCAAGGCACUGGCCCAGCUUCUCAGCCCAAGGUUCUGGUCUGCUGCUGCUAAAGUGAAUGAGGAAUGUUGCAACAACAUCUGGAGCCGCCCCCAGCGGAAGCCUGCAGAGUGGCAGUGGCAGCGGUGACAGCUCAGAACGCAGGCCUCUCACCGUGUGGACAUCCACGCAUCCACCAGCACACACAGACUAUGUGCACGUGGUCAUGUCUACAUGUCCACACGUACACAUGCACAUGCGUGUGUGUUUGUACACCACACAAGCAUGCCCUCUCCGGCUCCAUCCGGACUCAGCCAUCCAGCUGGGUGGGAAGCAGGCAGCCAGAGAGAACAGAGCUCCCCAGACCAGAAGCGGGCAUCUGCCCAAUGGUGCAGUGUGGUCACAGAGGCCAGAAGGCACAGGGGCAAGUCUGUGUCCCUGAGGCCCCUGGCCCCUCACCUGGCGGCAGGCCGAGGAUCUUCAGAACCAAUGGACAAUGGGGAAACCUCGCAUUUUGUUCCCUGUGUGCCCCUGCAUCUCCUGUGGGUCUCCUUGCGGGCUCCUCCCCUGGACCCUCUCCCUGCACACAGGUGUGUGUCACUGAUCAGCUUUAUCCUUUCUCUCAUUCAUCCUUUCCCAGGCAGAGUGUCCACAUCUCUCUCUCUCACACACACACACACACUCACAGUGCACAGGCCUUGGUCUCCAUCCUACUCACACUCCUUGUGAAAUACUCUGGCACACAUUUCCCUGGGUCUCCAUGAUUCUUUCCUUCUCCAUCCCCUCAUGCCCUUCUCCCAGU
ensembl:lncRNA